CCGGAUUUAACUUUCGAUAAACACGUAUCAAAUAUUUUUACAUUUUUAUUUUGAAAGUUACACAAAAACCGUAUGAGACACACUAUUCAAAACCAAUAAGACAGUGAAACUAAACCAAACCGUAAAAUUUUAAGAAGAUUCAAGAAAAAAGCUUAUCUUCUAACUUUGGCUCCAAAAACUCCAAUGGCUUCACUUUUUUCUGUAACUUUCUUGCGCCCGUAGCGCUUCUGCUGGAAAUGUACAACCAUCGAUACAGCAAUCGCAGCAGCAGCAGCUAUUAUAAUGUUCCUCACAUUAUCUCCAUAAAGGAUCAUCUUCAAACUUUCUCUUACCAUAAAGGAUAGGAUCUCUAACACAUGCGCCGUGUAUUUUGAGUAUCACCCUUAAUGCUGUGAAGCCAAUGUAGUAGGACUUGGUCAAGGGUACCUUGUUCCAGAAGGCAUUUCCAACAGCUUGAGGAACCAAAAACAGAUCCUCAACUAUGACAAGGUAGUCUUCCAUAUCCUGCGGUAUAAUGCAUUUCCAUCCAUCUUCAUGUCUCUUGGCCGAUAACCUCUAUCUUGUCAUUAGGGGUAUACUUGUCUCAGGGUUGUUCAUUGGCAACUUUCAGGUGUAGCAGCAGAAAACCAGCUCUGAAAUGAUUGAUCUCAUGAAGAGAACUUUCAUAUCCUUCAUGCCUAGAGCUCUACCGCUAUCUGAUCUGUUACGUAAUCG
rnacentral:lncRNA from 1 species